rnacentral:rRNA from 1 species
UACGUAGGUGGCAAGCGUUGUCCGGAUUUACUGGGCGUAAAGAGCGCGCAGGCGGUUGUGCAAGUCGCGUGUGAAAGCCCCCGGCUCAACUGGGGAGGGUCACGCGAUACUGCUCGACUUGAAGGCAGGAGAGGGAAGUGGAAUUCCCGGUGUAGUGGUGAAAUGCGUAGAGAUCGGGAGGAACACCAGAGGCGAAAGCGGCGACCUGGACAGGCACUGACACUCAACUACGAAAGCGUGGGGAGCAAACAGG